AAUAAGGUGUCUGAAGUUUUAGGUUGUAAAUUGUAAAUUUAUAUAUGGUAUAUUAGCCCCUUAUUA
rnacentral:tRNA from 1 species